AUCAGGUUGGAUACGGUUAGAAAAAUAAACGAAUAAGGUGAUGUUUGGGCAUAAGGCAAGAUUUAUAUAUAUAACGCCUACACGCCUAAAGCAGAUCAAUAUUCAAUUUCAAAUUUUAUUUAUAUAGAUCAAAUCUAUCUGUAAGAUGCUGUUUUUAAAUGAUCUCUAAUUAAAUGUAUUCACACACUGCCGGCUAUUCCAAACAAUAAAGGAAAACUGUAUAAGAGUCUGACUGGUGAAAAGCUUUGUCUCCCUCUUGUGGUUUGCUCUGCUGAGUAGGGAGGAUGAUCCACACACCCUUUAUUACCAGCAGAAAUCACACACUACCUUCGAUGUUAUGUACAUUUUCCACCUUCUUUCUCCUGAAAAUCACAUCUGUCAUGAAAUUCUUUGGUCAAACAGGUUGGUCAUUGCAUGUGCAGUGCCACUACAGUAUAUAGUACUGUGUAUUGUUUGACAAGGAACACAUAGUGGAAUAAAGUUCUUAUAUCUGCUUUUGAAUGUGUGAGGUGGUAUGGCGUGUAUGCAGUCAUACACACCAGAGCUGAUGGAGAGGAAGCACUGCAGGAAUUUGACUGUGUCCACUGUCAAUCCAUGUGGCCACAAUACAGCUACUCCUCUUGACAGAUUUCACCCUGCAAAAUAGCCCAUAAUCUACUGUUAAAGCAUGAGUCAAAAGUUCUAUUUAUUAGAGCCAACCAGUGACAUUGUCCUAUUUCCUGCUAUGCUGCUCUCUCAUCACACAGGUCCUCCAGGUGUCAGAGGCAUCCCCCAGCAGAGCAUUCUCCUCUGACUUCUGACAAGCCCAGUCACGAUCUGGCCUCUCUCUGCACUACUCAUCUGGGGAUCCAGUGUUGAUUAAGAGGACAUCCACGCAGACAUUCUGCAGCACAGGAUGGCAGCAGAGCUAACUUCAAUUUCCUCUCAGCUGAAUGCCCUGCCUUGUCAUCACACACUGACAGGCCAAACACUGGAAGGCUUGCAUUCUCUGCUGUCAGUGACACCACUGUUAUUGUAACCAGGUUAACAGAGAUACACUCCAUGUAAGGUGCCCCGAGCUCUGAGAAGUGACAUCACUGGGUCAACCUGAUACAUGGAUAAUGAGGUGCUGCAGGAUGGACCAUCUGUGUGUUCAGUCUGAGCUAAUUUCUGCAGCCAGUAGUUUGUAUAUCUCAAUACUGUCUAACAAUUUUUAUUACAUGCAUACUUGUAUCAUUUUCAGUAUUUUGUACUAUGCAACUGUGGCUGGAAAAUAUCCCUAAUGUUGACUGUCUGUGUUAAAUAAACCAGUAAAUAAUAAAGUAAAUACAAUUGUUAUCAGACAU